UACAGAGGGGGCAAGCGUUGUUCGGAAUUACUGGGCGUAAAGGGCGCGUAGGCCGCCUUCUAAGUCGAACGUGAAAUCCCUGGGCUCAACCCAGGAACUGCGUCCGAUACUGGAAGGCUUGAAUCCGGGAGGGGGAUGCGGAAUUCCAGGUGUAGCGGUGAAAUGCGUAGAUAUCUGGAGGAACACCGGUGGCGAAGGCGGCAUCCUGGACCGGUAUUGACGCUGAGGCGCGAAAGCCAGGGGAGCAAACGGG
rnacentral:rRNA from 1 species